rnacentral:lncRNA from 1 species
AUGAAAAAUCAUCGACCAAGGGGCAUACUUAAUGAGGUUAAAAUCUAUCUCCUCUUCAGAAACCAAGAGACAAGAGGAAAGAUGGACAGAAUUUCAAAAUACUCACAGAAAAUGUUGGGCAUCAAGAAUUUUGUGUCUUGCACAAGGGCCAGACUUCGAUCCUUGAUAAACCACUAAAAUGAAUGGAUGUUCUAAGGAAAUGAAGAAAAUUACUGGAGUUGAGAAAUAAGCAAGUGAGGGAACUGAGAAGAAAUGUCACAGAGAAGCGUCUUCACAAUUUAAGGACAGCUAUGUAUUCAGAAACCUGCAACGUGAUACCAGCACAGGGCACGGAACCUGGUGAGGACCAAGUUACACACAGCCAGGACCUAGAAAGUGUGCUUUUGAACUUACAGGAAAAAAACAACCAGAAAUGACAAAGAGCACAAGCACACAGGAAAAAAAGCCAUGAUAUUCUCU